rnacentral:lncRNA from 1 species
AGAGGCUGAGCAAGUUCCGCGGCCGCCGGUGCGGGCUCGCAGCCCCAUGCGGUCCAGGACAGCCAAGGGGGAGAAAAGAGGGAGGUCCGCUGCCUAGCUCUUGCGAAUCGUUGUUCCUUCCCCCUGUGCCGGCUCCUAAGACAAGCUAAUACUGACCCCGGUAGUCUUAGCGUUGGUUUUCCAGGAACUAUUGCUGCUCACUGGGAAGCCGAGAGCCAUACGUGAGCGUUCCCCCCUUCGGCGGCUGCACUAUAGUGCGGUCCCCGCUUCGCCAGCCAUAAGGCAAGCGAGAAGGGACGCACUUCUCCCGGCUUGCAAAGCGGUAGGGAGACGAUCGGGCCGCUGGCCGCUGUCUCGGCGUUCAGCAAUAGAGGCCUUCCCGGAUCUCCCGAGAGGCGGGGAGCGAGCCUGGGUCCAGCAGCCUUCUCCCUCCCGAGAACAGCAGAAAGGGGGGACUCGACAGAAUGACCUCUGUUUCCCCAAGGAAGUGCACUCUGACGAUAACCUCGGGAGGGACGAGAAGGGCCGCUCUUUCGGAGAGCGGCCGCCGCCCCUGGAGUAGGGGACUCAGUGGCCACGAAGGCCUUCCCUGCUCGCGACCUUUCCACGGGAAGGCACGAAGCUUCCGAUGGGGGCCCCGGGGCGCUCCUGACUUUUCUACGGCGCGAGGGCUCUGACUCUGCGGUUCAGGUUUGAAAGUCCUUUGGAAGCUCGCAAGUGGUGGUCUCCCACCACCUCCUCGGUCAUCGCAGGAAGAAGGCGCAGUGAGGGCGGGAGUCUGGAUGAGCGGAGAGUAGCCACCGCGGAGAAGAGUGCGGGCUUGCAGGAGCCGACGAAGAUAACUCGAAAUGUGGGCAGGCAGGUGUUGGUGGGUCUUGAAAGUGGGAAAGCACGAGAAAAGAACAAUGUUCGCGUCCGCUUAGAAUACGGAAACAAGUGAGCUUUAAAGGAAAAUACUCAUUCUCAUUACCCCUGUCCAGGAAGAAGAGUGCUGAUCUGCUGCUUCCAGUCCGCUGGGCUGGAGAGCAGAAAGAGGCUACUUGAUCCCAGCCAAGCCAGUGUCUGUCCCCCAGCAAGCACUUCUGCCUUGGUGUGAUCCCCAUUCCUUUUCUAAAAAUACAAAAUAAUAAGAAGUCCUGGAAGGAAAUACACUAAAAUGUUCCCAGUGGUUAAUCAUGCGUACAGUAGUAGAUUAUAUGCAGCUUUCAUUUUCUGCUUUAGACUUUUGUCUAUUUUCCACAACUUUUCUAAAGUUUCUACAAAGGCCAUAUAUUUCCACCAUAAGCAGAAAAAAUGAAAACGUAAGCAUUUAAAUGGCACAUACAAUAUAAUCUCAAUAGUAUAAACAUGCAUACAAAAGACAGGAAGGAGAUAUGAAGAACUGCUAACAGUAUGUUAUUUUUCACAACUAGGAUAUAGUCUCCUGUCCUGCUUUACCUUUCAGGUAUUUUCAUCUGAUAAAUAGAGAAACAGUUUAAAAUAAAUUCAGUCAUCCUGUUCAAUAGCCAAGAGGUUCCAAAAUGAGAUAAUGAAUUUAAAAGCCUUCGGGAACUAUAAAGAAAAGUAAUGCAUUAGUAUUAUUUUGAAGAUAAGUUUACAAUAUUUCUUACUGUAAAUUAUCAAAUCACUUUUGGGUGCAUUGUCAGUCUUUCUGUACAUGGAUUCGUUUCACUGUGGCAAAGGCAACUUGCAGAUAAGCUGAUAAAGAUUCCAGAACUACAAAUCAAACUAGGCCCUGGAGUAGCAGUAAAAUUCCAAACCCAAAGGCCCAUCCAGUCUGUCCACUACAUUCCUAUAUUGAUGAGAGCAGAACAGACACUCAUGAGAGACAUGACUUCUGCUUCCCCCAUAACUAAGAAGAGAGAUUACCAUACUGAUGAUCUCCCUGGAGGUUUCAUAGCAAGGUUUGACUUGAUGAAUUAAUUAAUAAAGCUAAAUAUCCUGAAGAUUUGGUGGAAAUAUGCUUUGACAUUUACAUCUAAGUGUUCAUCCGUGAAAAUCAAUAAAAUAUUUUUUCAUGCAGACCCUAUAGGCAUUUUCUUACUAAAAACUUCAUGUGGUUUAUGUGGCAAUUUCCAAAAAUGCCUAAAUAAACUCUGUUAUAGUUUACUGUGAAUAUUAAUAUAUUACAAAAAGAAAAAAGACCUUCCUCUAGUGACAAACUAAUAUUUGCAUAUUUGUGAGGAUUAUGAAGGUUUUUUCAUAUAUGGCAAUGUUAUUUUCAUUCUCCUAACAAUCCUCUGAGGAAGAUAGAAGUUAUUAUCUGUUUAUGAGGAAAGCGAAGCCCAAAGAUGUUAAGCGAAUAUCACUGUUCAGCAAAUAAGAGGUUAUACAUUCAAACUCAGUUCUUUUGAUUACCAGUUCAGUACUCUUAACAUCCAUUACUGUGCAGUGAUACUGAGAUGAUUAAUUUUUACACUUCUCCACUAAUAUUUCACCAGAUUUCUGUUACAGAAAUCUCAAAAAGAAUGCAUGUAUUCUUAUUCCACAAUUCUGUUUUUAGCCUUUGGGAUAAGCACUUCACCAUGAGUAUUUACCUCACCCAUUGAGAAUACCUGUGGGGCAGAAAACAGGUGCAAGUGUACUUCUUUAAUAAACAGGAAAAACCUCCAUACCUUGGAUUCUAGAUCCCUGGGUCCCCUUACCCCAGGAGGGCACUAAUAGCUUACUCAGUGGUAUUGAGGCUGUCCAGCAGACCAUCCCACUUUGAUUUGGAAGAUCAGUGCCUAUGCAAGAGGAAAAGCAUGCAAUUGGGAAUAGGACAGAGGGUUUCCAGAGAGGAGGAACACCCAGGACAAAGGAGGGGUAACACGAAUUCCUGAGAACUGACCACCAAGUUCAUGACUUUUGGAGCCCAGACCAAAAGUCUUCUAGGGCCCAAGCUUGGGACAGAAGGAGUGGAUGCCACCAUCAGAGGAUGCCUGUUACCUCAAGGUAUGUCCAAGUAUGAGUAGGCCUGGGCACAAAGCCAGGUAAGCAGGACCUGCUUCAGGUGGGCAAGGUUACUGGAUCGCCUCAAGGAGAGGAUUCCCCAAGGCCCUGGUCAACAGGGCUGCUUUAAAAUUGUUGUAAUACCCAAGGACUUACUUUAGGAUACCCUACCCCACAUCAUAUAAAACGUAUUGAAAUGUACCAUGUCCCAG